CUUACCAUGCAAGUCGAACGGUAAGGCCCGCUUGCGGGUACACGAGUGGCGAACGGGUGAGUAACACGUGAGCAACCUGCCCUUGACUCUGGAAUAACAGCUGGAAACAGCUGCUAAUACCGGAUACGACCUCCUGCGACAUCGCACAGAGGUGGAAAGCUCCGGCGGUCAAGGAUGGGCUCGCGGCCUAUCAGCUAGUUGGUGAGGUAACGGCCCACCAAGGCUUCGACGGGUAGCCGGCCUGAGAGGGUGACCGGCCACACUGGGACUGAGAUACGGCCCAGACUCCUACGGGAGGCAGCAGUGGGGAAUAUUGCACAAUGGGCGAAAGCCUGAUGCAGCAACGCCGCGUGCGGGAUGACGGCCUUCGGGUUGUAAACCGCUUUCAGCUUCGACGAAGCGCAAGUGACGGUAGGAGCAGAAGAAGGACCGGCCAACUACGUGCCAGCAGCCGCGGUGAUACGUAGGGUCCGAGCGUUGUCCGGAAUUAUUGGGCGUAAAGGGCUUGUAGGCGGUUUGUCGCGUCGGAAGUGAAAACUCAGGGCUUAACCCUGAGCGUGCUUUCGAUACGGGCAAACUAGAGGGAUGCAGGGGAGAACGGAAUUCCUGGUGGAGCGGUGGAAUGCGCAGAUAUCAGGAGGAACACCGGUGGCGAAGGCGGUUCUCUGGGCAUUUCCUGACGCUGAGAAGCGAAAGCGUGGGGAGCAAACAGGCUUAGAUACCCUGGUAGUCCACGCCGUAAACGGUGGGCACUAGUGUGGGACUCAUUCCACGAGUUCCGUGCCGAAGCUAACGCAUUAGUGCCC
rnacentral:rRNA from 1 species